rnacentral:lncRNA from 1 species
UCUAAUGCGGCUGAAAGCAAGACUGUCAGAGCUAAGGAGUAAGAAGGAAACAAGUUCAGAUCUGAGAAAUCGUGGUGGAAUCGGUCCAGUCAGAAGAAGAAAUUCUGGAAUUGUGAAUGGCAUAGAAAACUUCUUGUUAGCCCCAACUCCAAAAGUUCCAGACGCCCUUACUCAUCAUUCAGAAAGACUCCAGGCUACCAAAAGGGCGCCAGAGGCCUUUGUGUCUAUUCAACUAGAAAAGGUGGGGCUGCGGGACAUGAUGCUGAACGCCUUCCUUCUCAGGAAACAAACCAUGGGCGACAGAAUGAAGAACCAUGUGAGUUUAGAGAGAAGGACUCACUAAACCAGUGUAAAGCUCUCAGUAUCUUUUACAUUUGAACAAAUAAAAAUUCCUAACUUUUAAUCUGUUGCUUUCAGCCUGUUUGGAUAGGACUAUUGAAAAUAUAAAGAACUAUACAAGGGAAUUCAAUAAGAAAUAGAAAGGAAGCAAUUCAAGCUAAUUGCAGUCUAGUUUUAAGAAUA